rnacentral:lncRNA from 1 species
ACAAUUAUAAAACAAUCAAAAAGCUGCUGGACGACAAUAAAAUCGUCAGGCAUUGUGACGUUCCGCCCCUUAUAGAAUCGAUUAUUGAUGGGAAGAUAUUAUUUAACUAUCCAAAAUAUUAUUUAAUUAUUUUCAGAAUUAUUUUCUUUCAAUGUUUAUUCAAAUAGAACUUAAACCCAUCUCAGAAUUUUUAAAUGCUUGAUGACGUCACAUUUAAAACGUGGCAACAUUGGUUUCCCCACUUUGACAGCCAAUGCUUAGUAGAGGGGUACGAAGGAUUCAGCUGUGAACGUGAGCCUUGGAUUGCCAUUGUUUCUCGAGUGUUCGGUCUGAAUCGUAGUGUGCGGGGUCAUUAGACUCAAUUAUUCACCUCUAAUUCUCAGUUCCAAAUUGAUUAAAUAUUACAAUAAAAGUAUAGUGAAGUUAUCCAGCAGCAGUGGAUUUGAAGAAUUUUAGAGCAUACUAUAUCCAAUGAGUUCUACCCCGCACCUACCAUGAAAUCUUAAAGCCACCCUACAACAACACCAAGGCCAGACCACACAGAGAGAAACAAUCAAUAGGCGACCAGCCUGGAUUAUUUCCACAUUUUCUUUUUUUGAGUACCUCCAGCUGCUUUCCAACAGUUUUGAGUACCUUCAGCUGCUUUCUACCAGUCUUCCUCUCCUGUACCUCCAGCAGGACAGCUGCUAGCGAGAGUUAGCACCCUUGGGUGCUCAUUACAUCAACUUCAAGAUUAGGAAAGAGUGGUUUGUUUGGGAACAUUUACUGUGCUCUUAUUAAAGACAGACUGGUUUUGUGAUAUUUAGUACAUUUUUUUUUAUAGUUCAAUUGCACACACAUUUUUCCUGCUUUAUAUUUUUUAUAGGUUUUUUUUUCUUUACAACAUAAUAUUUAAUUGAUAGCGUUCCCCAACACUCUGCAAUCUAUAAAGGUAUAAAUUUCUGAGCUCAGAUAUUUUCCCUGAUAAUAGUAGUCGGUACUCUUAUCUUGAUUAUUUUUAGGCUGUGUUCCACUUUUGUAUAAUUAUUUAAACUCAUUCCAUUAUUUUAGUAUAUGUUUAAUUAAAUUUUUAAAAAUUAACUUCACAUAUUAGUCAAAAUUGUAAUUAUUAACUUUAUUUAACUUGAACUUAUUAACUUUACUUAACUUUAACUUAUUAACUUUAUUUAACUUUAACUUUAAUUUAUUAAAUUCAUAUGAACUUCUGGAUUCUAAUCCCUCAGAUUAGUUUUUGGUUUCACUUGUUAUUAUUACUAUUAUAAACCACGAGUUAGGAAAAGGAUCUGUGUAUCCACUCGUAGGUUUAUUUAUUCAAUAAGGCUUGUGCCUGUCCCACUCACAGUGAGGUAUUUAUAUGUUAUAUAUAGUAUCAGGUAGUAUUUAAUUAAGGUGUACGUAUUAUAAACGUACAAUUAUUAUUUGGUGAGGGUUCUACUAACCUAGUUGUAAGUUGUACUUCCUGUAUUAGAGGUACCCGUAGUCAGUUUUUCUAACCUUAUAAAGAGUAUUCUUAGAUCAUAGUUGUAUGAUGAUUUUGUAAUUGACUUUCACUAGUAUCACUUUUUCCUGUCAUGUUAGAGUUACACACUAGUUACUUGUCCUAACUCAGAGAUUGUUAAAAAGAUCUAGUAGUUACAUUCAAUAAAUAUACAUUUAUUGUGA